ACAGGUUAAUAUUCCUGUACUUGGUGUUACUGCGAAGGGGGGACGGAGAAGGCUAUGUUGGCCGGGCGACGGUUGUCCCGGUUUAAGCGUGUAGGCUGGUUUUCCAGGCAAAUCCGGAAAAUCAAGGCUGAGGCGUGAUGACGAGGCACUGCGGUGCUGAAGCAACAAAUGCCCUGCUUCCAGGAAAAGCCUCUAAGCAUCAGGUAACAUCAAAUCGUACCCCAAACCGACACAGGUGGUCAGGUAGAGAAUACCAAGGCGCUUGAGAGAACUCGGGUGAAGGAACUAGGCAAAAUGGUGCCGUAACUUCGGGAGAAGGCACGCUGAUAUGUAGGUGAAGUCCCUCGCGGAUGGAGCUGAAAUCAGUCGAAGAUACCAGCUGGCUGCAACUGUUUAUUAAAAACACAGCACUGUGCAAACACGAAAGUGGACGUAUACGGUGUGACGCCUGCCCGGUGCCGGAAGGUUAAUUGAUGGGGUUAGCGCAAGCGAAGCUCUUGAUCGAAGCCCCGGUAAACGGCGGCCGUAACUAUAACGGUCCUAAGGUAGCGAAAUUCCUUGUCGGGUAAGUUCCGACCUGCACGAAUGGCGUAAUGAUGGCCAGGCUGUCUCCACCCGAGACUCAGUGAAAUUGAACUCGCUGUGAAGAUGCAGUGUACCCGCGGCAAGACGGAAAGACCCCGUGAACCUUUACUAUAGCUUGACACUGAACAUUGAGCCUUGAUGUGUAGGAUAGGUGGGAGGCUUUGAAGUGUGGACGCCAGUCUGCAUGGAGCCGACCUUGAAAUACCACCCUUUAAUGUUUGAUGUUCUAACGUUGACCCGUAAUCCGGGUUGCGGACAGUGUCUGGUGGGUAGUUUGACUGGGGCGGUCUCCUCCUAAAGAGUAACGGAGGAGCACGAAGGUUGGCUAAUCCUGGUCGGACAUCAGGAGGUUAGUGCAAUGGCAUAAGCCAGCUUGACUGCGAGCGUGACGGCGCGAGCAGGUGCGAAAGCAGGUCAUAGUGAUCCGGUGGUUCUGAAUGGAAGGGCCAUCGCUCAACGGAUAAAAGGUACUCCGGGGAUAACAGGCUGAUACCGCCCAAGAGUUCAUAUCGACGGCGGUGUUUGGCACCUCGAUGUCGGCUCAUCACAUCCUGGGGCUGAAGUAGGUCCCAAGGGUAUGGCUGUUCGCCAUUUAAAGUGGUACGCGAGCUGGGUUUAGAACGUCGUGAGACAGUUCGGUCCCUAUCUGCCGUGGGCGCUGGAGAACUGAGGGGGGCUGCUCCUAGUACGAGAGGACCGGAGUGGACGCAUCACUGGUGUUCGGGUUGUCAUGCCAAUGGCACUGCCCGGUAGCUAAAUGCGGAAGAGAUAAGUGCUGAAAGCAUCUAAGCACGAAACUUGCCCCGAGAUGAGUUCUCCCUGACCCUUUAAGGGUCCUGAAGGAACGUUGAAGACGACGACGUUGAUAGGCCGGGUGUGUAAGCGCAGCGAUGCGUUGAGCUAACCGGUACUAAUGAACCGUGAGGCUUAACCUU
rnacentral:rRNA from 1 species